rnacentral:rRNA from 1 species
CGACCGGCGCACGGGUGAGUAACACGUAUGCAAUCCACCUGUAACAGGGGGAUAACCCGGAGAAAUCCGGACUAAUACCCCAUAAUAUGGGCUCUCCGCAUGGAGGGUCCAUUAAAGAGAGCAACUUUGGUUACAGACGAGCAUGCGCUCCAUUAGCCAGUUGGCGGGGUAACGGCCCACCGAAGCGACGAUGGAUAGGGGUUCUGAGAGGAAGGUCCCCCACAUUGGAACUGAGACACGGUCCAA